UAUAUUCUUAUGCCCUCAUUUUCACAUAAUGUUACUACUAUGAAGAAGUAUAAUUAGGAGUUUGAUACGAGCCAUUACAAUCUAAAGAGUGUUUGGUGACAAGUUUUGUUAGAUUAUGGUGAUGGGUCUGGCUGUGACACUCCUACACUCAUGGACUCAAGAACAGGAUUUUUCAAUGCAGUGACCCUUGGGGCUCUCAGGUAAAUUGUUUCUUUAAUCCUGAGGUUUUUGAUGAAUUUCUAGGGACACACAGAAGGAUGGAUGCAUGAAUUCUAUGCUUACGUUGUCUACUAGUACCUUUUGAAGAACUGAAGAAGAUCAGGUAUCAUGCAAAAAUAGGCUUGGAGAAGAGAUUCAAGAAGUGAUCAAGGCCAAGUGACUGGAAGCUGACCUCGGGCACCAGCCAAGUCAACCAGAGCUCUGCAAAGGGAAACUAUGCGAAAGACUGCAGAAAAGAUGAUUCUACUCUGGGGCAAAUCAAAAUCUGGCAGGGUCCUGAGAUAACAAUGAAGAUGAGAACAGAAACCAGACGAGGUGGUGAGACCUUGUACUUGACUUGCAGACAUGAACCCCUCCUAGCUCACGUCUCCUCUCCUGCUUUUCGCCUCCCAUGCCCCAUUCCCUCAACCCCUCCUUUAAAAAACUUCAGUAAAUCGACAUCUUUGAGAUGGGAUAGCCUAUCAUGUC